CCAUCGGCCCUUUUCAGGGCCAUUUAGUGGAAAAGAGUUAAAAGAGU
rfam:Aedes aegypti strain Liverpool supercont1.113 genomic scaffold, whole genome shotgun sequence.